UACGGGGGGGGCAAGCGUUGUUCGGAAUUACUGGGCGUAAAGGGCUCGUAGGCGGCCAACUAAGUCGGACGUGAAAUCCCCAGGCUCAACCUGGGAACUGCGUCCGAUACUGGAUGGCUUGAAUCCGGGAGAGGGAUGUGGAAUUCCAGGUGUAGCGGUGAAAUGCGUAGAUAUCUGGAGGAACACCGGUGGCGAAGGCGGGUCUCUGGGCCGAUACUGACGCUGAGACGCGAAAGCGUGGGGAGCGAACAGG
rnacentral:rRNA from 1 species